rnacentral:rRNA from 1 species
UACGAAGGGGGGCUAGCGUUGCUCGGAAUGACUGGGCGUAAAGGGCGCGUAGGCGGAUGGCACAGUCAGAUGUGAAAUUCCUGGGCUUAACCUGGGGGCUGCGUUCGAUACCUGUGGACUAGAGUGGGGAAGAGGGUCGUGGAAUUCCCAGUGUAGAGGUGAAAUUCGUAGAUAUUGGGAAGAACACCGGUGGCGUAGGCGGCGACCUGGUCCUUUACUGACGCUGAGGCGCGAAAGCGUGGGGAGCAAACAGG